rnacentral:lncRNA from 1 species
UCCCGGUCUGUCCUGAGGGGUUUAUCCUGGUCCAAACCGAGAGGUUUCUCCCGGUCCGUCCCAGUCAGUUUAUCCCCGUCCGUCCCGGUUGAUCCCAAUCCAUCUCAAGGAUUUUAUCCCGGUUCCUCCUGGUUUAUCUCAGUCCAUCCCAAGGAUUUCUCCUUGUGCAUCCCGGUUUCUCCCAGUCUAUCCCAGUCUGUUUAUCCCGGUCCAUCCCGAGGGAUUUCUCCCGGUUUAUCCCAGUUUCACCUGAGGGGUUUAUCCCAGUCCAUCCUGGUUUCUCCCGGUCCAUCCUGAAUUCUCCCAUUCCAUCCCGAGGGAUUUAAAAUCCCGGCCCAUCCCGGUCUACUUCUCCUGAUUUAUCCCAGUCUCUCCCGGUCCAUCCCGGUCUAUUUAUCCCAGUUUAUCCCGGUGUCUUUCUCCCAGUCCAUCCCGGUCUGUUUAUCCUGGUUUCUCCCCUCCCGGUCUGUUUAUCCCGCUCCCUCCCGGUUUCUCCAGGUUUUUCCCGUUCCAUCCCGUUCCCUCCCGCUCUCUCCCGGUCUCUUUCUCCCAUUCCAUCCCGUUCCAUCCCACUCUGUCCCGCUCCCUCCCAGUUUAUCCCGGUCUCUCCCGGUUUAUCCCGGUCUCUCCCGGUUUAUCCCUGUCUCUCCCGGUCUCUCCCGUUCCGUCCCGCUCUCUGUCGGUCUCUUUCUCCCGUUCCAUCCCGUUCCAUCCCGUUCCGUCCCGUUCCAUCCCGUUCCAUCCCGUUCCGUCCCGUUCCAUCCCGUUCCAUCCCGUUCCGUCCCGCUCUCUGUCGGUCUUUUUCUCCCGUUCCAUCCCGUUCCGUCCCGUUCCGUCCCGUUCCAUCCCGUUCCAUCCCGUUCCGUCCCGCUCUCUCCCGGUCUCUUUCUCCCGUCCCGUCCCGUCCCGUUCCGUCCCGUUCCCAGUUGGUCCCGCUCCCUCCCAGUUGGUCCCGCUCCGCUCCGGCCCGGGAUGCCGCGCCCCGCGCCGCUCUGCCCCGCGCUGCUGCUGGCCGCGCUGUGCCCCGCGCUCGCCCUGCACUCGUGCCGCACGCUGGACCUGGAGGCGGCGCGGCUGAAGCGCAUCGAGGCCGUGCGGGGGCAGAUCCUGAGCAAGCUGCGGCUGGGGGCGGCCCCCCCCCCCCCCCCCCCCCCCCCCCCCCCCCCCCCCCCCCCCCCCCCCCCCCCCCCCCCCCCCCCCCCCCCCCCCCCCCCCCCCCCCCCCCCCCCCCCCCCCCCCCCCCCCCC